rnacentral:rRNA from 1 species
GAUGAACGCUAGCGGCAGGCCUAACACAUGCAAGUCGAGGGGUAGAAGGAGCUUGCUCCUUUGAGACCGGCGCACGGGUGCGUAACGCGUAUGCAAUCUACCUUAUACAGGGGAAUAGCCCAGAGAAAUUUGGAUUAAUGCCCCAUGGUAUUAUAGAAUGGCAUCAUUUUAUAAUUAAAGUUCCAACGGUAUAAGAUGAGCAUGCGUCCCAUUAGUUAGUUGGUAAGGUAACGGCUUACCAAGACUAUGAUGGGUAGGGGUCCUGAGAGGGAGAUCCCCCACACUGGUACUGAGACACGGACCAGACUCCUACGGGAGGCAGCAGUGAGGAAUAUUGGUCAAUGGACGCAAGUCUGAACCAGCCAUGCCGCGUGCAGGAAGAAGCAUCUAUGGUGUGUAAACUGCUUUUAUACAGGAAGAAACAACGCUACGUGUAGCGUCUUGACGGUACUGUAAGAAUAAGGACCGGCUAACUCCGUGCCAGCAGCCGCGGUAAUACGGAGGGUCCAAGCGUUAUCCGGAAUCAUUGGGUUUAAAGGGUCCGUAGGCGGCCUUAUAAGUCAGUGGUGAAAUCUCCUAGCUCAACUAGGAAACUGCCAUUGAUACUGUAGGGCUUGAAUUUUUGUGAAGUAACUAGAAUAUGUAGUGUAGCGGUGAAAUGCUUAGAUAUUACUUAGAACACCAAUUGCGAAGGCAGGUCACUAAGAUUUAACUGACGCUGAUGGACGAAAGCGUGGGUAGCGAACAGGAUUAGAUACCCUGGUAGUCCACGCCGUAAACGAUGCUAACUCGUUUUUGGGCACUUGUGCUCAGAGACCAAGCGAAAGUGAUAAGUUAGCCACCUGGGGAGUACGAUCGCAAGAUUGAAACUCAAAGGAAUUGACGGGGGCCCGCACAAGCGGUGGAUUAUGUGGUUUAAUUCGAUGAUACGCGAGGAACCUUACCAAGACUUAAAUGGGAAUUGACAGAUUUAGAAAUAGAUCCUCCUUCGGGCAAUUUUCAAGGUGCUGCAUGGUUGUCGUCAGCUCGUGCCGUGAGGUGUUAGGUUAAGUCCUGCAACGAGCGCAACCCCUGUCACUAGUUGCUACCAUUAAGUUGAGGACUCUAGUGAGACUGCCUACGCAAGUAGAGAGGAAGGUGGGGAUGACGUCAAAUCAUCACGGCCCUUACGUCUUGGGCCACACACGUAAUACAAUGGCCGGUACAGAGGGCAGCUACACAGCGAUGUGAUGCGAAUCUCGAAAGCCGGUCUCAGUUCGGAUUGGAGUCUGCAACUCGACUCUAUGAAGCUGGAAUCGCUAGUAAUCGCGCAUCAGCCAUGGCGCGGUGAAUACGUUCCCGGGCCUUGUACACACCGCCCGUCAAGCCAUGGAAGCUGGGGGUACCUGAAGUCGGUGACCGUAAAAGGAGCUGCCUAGGGUAAAACUGGUAACUAGGGCUA